rnacentral:rRNA from 1 species
UACGUAGGGGGCAAGCGUUGUCCGGAAUCAUUGGGCGUAAAGAGCGUGUAGGCGGCUCGGUAAGUCCGCUGUAAAAGUCCAGGGCUCAACCCUGGAAAGCCGGUGGAAACUGUCGAGCUAGAGUCCGGAAGAGGCGAGUGGAAUUCCUGGUGUAGCGGUGAAAUGCGCAGAUAUCAGGAGGAACACCAAUGGCGAAGGCAGCUCGCUGGGACGGUACUGACGCUGAGGAGCGAAAGCAUGGGGAGCGAACAGG